rnacentral:rRNA from 1 species
GACGAACGCUGGCGGCAGGCCUAACACAUGCAAGUCGAGCGAGCGGCGGACGGGUGAGUAAUGUAUGGGGACUGCCCGAUAGAGGGGGAUAACUACUGGAAACGGUGGCUAAUACCGCAUACUAGCAGAUAACCCAUAUGGGAUUAGCUAGUAGGUGGGGUAAAGGCUCACCUAGGUGACGAUCUCUAGCUGGUCGGAGAGGAUGAUCAGCCACACUGGAACUGAGACACGGCCCAGAUUCCCACGGGGGCAGCAGUGGGGAAUAUUGCACAAUGGGCGCAAGCCUGAUGCAGCCAUGCCGCGUGUAUGAAGAAGGCCUUAGGGUUGUAAAGGACUUUCAGCUGGGAGGCGUUACCCGCAGAAGAAGCACCGGCUAACUCCGUGCCAGCCGCCGCGGUAAUUC